UUAGCCAGAAAAUCAUAGGUACCACAUUUAGAUAUCCAAGAUUUGUCAAAAAACACUCUUACCCACCUUAUUGAACUUGGGCUGCCUCUGAAAUGUGUUGCCAAACUACUGGGAGUCUCUUGAACAACAUUGUUUAGGAGGUUGGCUGUUAACAAUAUGUCAGUAAGAGCAUUGUAUAGCACCUGUACUGAUGAUGAGCUGACGACAGAGGUGAAGAACUAUACCAGAUGCUGGAAAACAGAUGGUCCGAGGAGCUCUCUUGACACCAACCACAAACUAAUCAGGUACAACAAAUACACACUACUGCUAUUUACACUGACUUUCUGACUCACCCUGAGAUGCGAUGAACUCAACAGUGUGUUCUCAGGAAAAAUGUGUCAUGUUUGUGAGCAAUUUAUUUCUUGGCACUUUCAAUGUUUCAAGGGAUGUCAUUUUUGAUUAGGUACAACAUUAUAAUCUUUGGGGGAAUAGAUAGUUAUUCGUGAAAGGUACGAUUUUUAUUGUUUGUGCUAUUUGCCCUAUCUGUCUUUAAAGUUUUCUCUUUCAUGAAUUUACAUCCACACCUGUUAAUAUUUAUUCUACAGAUAAUGUACCUAAAGGUAGCAAACAACAGUCGCUCUGACACCCAUUUGGAGUGAGGUUCUGAGUGAACAUGGGUUUUCACUGACGUAACAACUGAGAGGUGAUCAUGGAGGUGAAAAUGUAGAAGUAGCAACGCUAAUGUUUUCAGUUUGUAGAACUGACAACAGCAGCUUCAUUGCUAAGUCCAGCCGAGUCCAUGGAAUUUGAUUUGUGAUGCAAUGAACAAAUUAAAUAAAUAAAAAUAACGAAACAGAAAUAAAU